AUCCAGCUGACGAGUUCCAAAUAGGACGAAACGCACGUCUUGGAU
rfam:Schistosoma mansoni, Puerto Rico, WGS project CABG01000000 data, contig: 0163